rnacentral:rRNA from 1 species
UACGUAGGGUGCGAGCGUUGUCCGGAAUUAUUGGGCGUAAAGAGCUCGUAGGCGGUCUGUUGCGUCCGCUGUGAAAACUCGGGGCUUAACCCCGAGCCUGCAGUGGAUACGGGCAGACUAGAGGUAGGUAGGGGAGAAUGGAAUUCCCGGUGUAGCGGUGAAAAUGCGCAGAUAUCGGGGAGGAACACCGGUGGCGAAGGCG